UAGGAGUAUACCCUGAAGUGGGGGAUAACCUGGGGAAACUCAGGCUAAUACCGCAUAAUCUUCAAGAAGCAAAGCUAGGGACCCGCGAGGGCCUGGUGCUUUAGGAAUAGCCUGCGUCCGAUUAGCUAGUUGGUGGGGUAAAGGCCUACCAAGGCGAUGAUCGGUAGCUGGUCUGAGAGGACGAACAGCCACACUGGGACUGAGACACGGCCCAGACUCCUACGGGAGGCAG
rnacentral:rRNA from 1 species